UACGGGAGUGGCAAGCGUUAUCCGGAAUUAUUGGGCGUAAAGCGUCCGCAGGCGGCCUUGAAAGUCUGUCGUUAAAGCGUGGAGCUCAACUCCAUUUCGGCGAUGGAAACUACAAGGCUUGAGUGUGGUAGGGGCAGAGGGAAUUCCCGGUGUAGCGGUGAAAUGCGUAGAUAUCGGGAAGAACACCAGUGGCGAAGGCGCUCUGCUGGGCCAUAACUGACGCUCAUGGACGAAAGCCAGGGGAGCGAAAGGG
rnacentral:rRNA from 1 species